CAGUCGAGCGAGUCUGCCUUGAAGAUCGGAGUGCUUGCACUCUGUGAAACAAGAUACAGGCUAGCGGCGGACGGGUGAGUAACACGUGGGUAACCUGCCCAAGAGAUCGGGAUAACACCUGGAAACAGAUGCUAAUACCGGAUAAUAACAGAUGACGCCUAUCAACUGUUUAAAAGAUGGUUCUGCUAUCACUCUUGGAUGGACCUGCGGUGCAUUAGCUAGUUGGUAGGGUAACGGCCUACCAAGGCGAUGAUGCAUAGCCGAGUUGAGAGACUGAUCGGCCACAUUGGGACUGAGACACGGCCCAAACUCCUACGGGAGGCAGCAGUAGGGAAUCUUCCACAAUGGACGCAAGUCUGAUGGAGCAACGCCGCGUGAGUGAAGAAGGGUUUCGGCUCGUAAAGCUCUGUUGUUGGUGAAGAAGGACAGGGGUAGUAACUGACCUUUGUUUGACGGUAAUCAAUUAGAAAGUCACGGCUAACUACGUGCCAGCAGCCGCGGUAAUACGUAGGUGGCAAGCGUUGUCCGGAUUUAUUGGGCGUAAAGCGAGUGCAGGCGGUUCGAUAAGUCUGAUGUGAAAGCCUUCGGCUCAACCGGAGAAUUGCAUCAGAAACUGUCGAGCUUGAGUACAGAAGAGGAGAGUGGAACUCCAUGUGUAGCGGUGAAAUGCGUAGAUAUAUGGAAGAACACCGGUGGCGAAGGCGGCUCUCUGGUCUGUUACUGACGCUGAGGCUCGAAAGCAUGGGUAGCG
rnacentral:rRNA from 1 species